rnacentral:rRNA from 1 species
UACGUAGGGACGAGCGUUGUCCGGAAUUACUGGGCGUAAAGGGCGCGCAGGCUGUAGAUCAAGUCAGCUGUGAAAUGUCUGGGCUUAACCCGGGCAUGCGGUUGAAACUGAUGUACUGGAGUGCUGUAGAGGCAAGUGGAAUUCCCAGUGUAGCGGUGAAAUGCGUAGAUAUUGGGAAGAACACCGGUGGCGACGGCGACUUGCUGGGCAGCAACUGACGCUGAGGCGCGAAAGCCAGGGGAGCAAACAGGAUUAGA